rnacentral:rRNA from 1 species
GUUCUGGUAUCCUAGGCAUAGAAGAAACACACCAAUCCAUACCGAAUUUGGUGGUUAAACUCUACUGCGGUGACGAUACUGUAGGGUAGACCCUGCGGAAAAAUAGCUCGAUGCCAGGAUGCGGAAAUGCUUAGAAACUA